UACGGAGGGUGCAAGCGUUAUCCGGAUUUAUUGGGUUUAAAGGGUCCGUAGGCGGACGUAUAAGUCAGUGGUGAAAUCCUACAGCUUAACUGUAGAACUGCCAUUGAUACUGUAUGUCUUGAAUUCGGUUGAAGUGGGCGGAAUAUGACAUGUAGCGGUGAAAUGCUUAGAUAUGUCAUAGAACACCGAUUGCGAAGGCAGCUCACUAAGCCUGGAUUGACGCUGAGGGACGAAAGCGUGGGUAGCGAACAGG
rnacentral:misc_RNA from 1 species